GACUCUCGGCAAUGGAUAUCUCGGCUCUCGCAUCGAUGAAGAACAUAGCCAAAUGCGAUACCUGGUGUGAAUUGCAGAAUCCUGCGAACCAUCGAGUCUUUGAACGCAAGUUGCACCCGAGGCCACUCGGCCGAGGGCAUGCCUGCCUGGGCGUCA
rnacentral:rRNA from 1 species